rnacentral:rRNA from 1 species
GACGGAGGGGGCGAGCGUUGUCCGGAAUUACUGGGCGUAAAGAGCACGUAGGCGGGACUUUAAGUCAGGUGUGAAAGACCGUGGCUCAACCACGGGGUUGCACUUGAAACUGGAGUUCUUGAGGGCAGGAGAGGAAAGCAGAAUUCCUGGUGUAGCGGUGAAAUGCGUAGAAAUCAGGAGGAAUACCAGUGGCGAAGGCGGCUUUCUGGACUGACCCUGACGCUGAGGUGCGAAAGCGUGGGUAGCAAACAGGAUUAGAUACCCUGGUAGUCCACGCCGUAAACGAUGGAUACUAGGUGUAGGAGGUAUCGACCCCUUCUGUGCCGCAGCUAACGCAAUAAGUAUCCCGCCUGGGGAGUACGAUCGCAAGGUUGAA